AGGAAAGUCCAGCUUUAAAGCAUCGAGCUGAAAUCUCAAACUGCUUUGUAGAUGAAUACGUACACGAAAUAUUACAGCUACUGUUCUUCUGGAAUGUAAAAUAACAAGAUUAUAAAGAAGGCAGUAUUGUUACUGGCCGGAAAAUUUUUGAGAGACAAGGAGGAAGAAGAAGAUGUUUGGCAACUUUAUGAUGCUGGAAGCAAAAUAAAGUGAGGAAAAAAUAUACCUGGAGCUGUGUACCAGUGGCAAGCACCUGAAGCUUCUAGCCGUGAUGCAAAGCCACACAAUUUCCUGUGCUGCUGAUACAUUCUUUUUCUUGAUCAGUGUCGGUCACAACCUCUGGCAGCUCCCUCAGUUAAACUCAGCUCAAGGAACAGCAACAGGUUCAUUCAGCGGACACGGCUGUUUUGCAGGAGUGCAGAGCAGCACAAGUUGGCGGAACAACCGGCUCGGUGCGUGGGGACGGUCCGGCUCCCACUCGCGAUCCUGCCAUUCCUGCCAUUCCUCGGUCAUCCUUGUGGCCACGGCGCCACUGCCACAAACACGCGGGAGGGGGGGCUGCUGCCGAUGCCAACACCAGAAAAUCUCGGCUGUUUAUGCUGAUGUGCCUCGUCUUGCUCAUGUGGAAACCCUGGGCCACAAACAGAUUUAAGGAGAUGGGAAAGUAGAAUGCCCUCCAGCUGGAAUUUUCCAGAAGCCAAUGGAAGAGAAGACAAAUCAGUAACCCUGGGAAGACAGAACCCUGCAACAACAUGACAUGUUUUGGCAUUCCCUUGUUUUCUUUUAUUUGGGUGCAGUUGUUACUACUCGCUGGAACAUGAAAUGCUUUGUCAGCUCCUUAGUUUGUUUUGGGUUUUUUUUUUUUUUGUUUGCUUUUUUAACCUUUAUGUGUUAUUAUAAUGGAACCAUAAGGUGAAGCUGUGUGAGAAGAGGACAUAAAAAGCCAUUUCUGUUGCCUUAUUUUUUAUUUGGGUAGGAAUUAGCAGGUUUAGUAGGUCCACAAGGCAGUUACAUAAUAGCCUAUAAGUAUUUAAUUAAAAAAAAGAGGCAGAACUGGCAGGCAUUUCACAUGCAGUCCUGCAUGUGCUCUGGCACAUCACACAAUUAUGCAGGAGGCAUGUGAAUGGGGGGCAGUGCCAGAGGGAAAGUCAUGUCCCACGGCUGCAGGAGGAUGGGAAGGCUGUAGGGUAUUGGUUACCUGAGGUUUGGCCCUGAAGCACCUAAAGGGAGCACAGAAGUGAAAAAUAACAUGGAAGCUAUCAAAGCACGGAAUGGGAAACCCACGGGUGUUGGCUCUGGCAGCAGCUCAGAACACACGUUUGUGCUUUGGCAGGACAUCUAGAGCUGCAUUUCUCUAUGGAAGCAGAAGAAAAACAAAAGCAAGAGAAGGGCAGGAGUGGCCCAGCUGAAGCAAGGACAUCACCUGGGCCAGGCUGCCCAGCUGGGGUGGCAGCGGCACUUGGAGCCCUCGGGGCCACGCGCUCAGCCUGGCAGGGCACAGCACGUUGAGCUGAAGCACCCGCCCGGGAAAGGGAGCGAAGAUAUUUUUAGUCCUUCCAAGAGUCUACAACAGAGCUAGCCAGGAUUAAUGGACAUUUAUGGGGGUUAGCAAGAGUUAAUAGGAGAGGCCAAACCUCUCCACCUACAAUUCCCUCCAUCUGUACUUACUGCAUCUUUGAGGUGAUGGAAGGGGAAACAAUAUGGAGUGUUCUGUUUGAAAUAUUUUGGGAUUUAGAAAAUCCAAACAUUUAAAUAAUGUGUUCAAGAAAUUA